rnacentral:tRNA from 1 species
GCCGCUUUAGCUCAGGGGUAGAGCAACCGCCUUGUAAGCGGUAGGUCGUCAGUUCGAAUCCGACAAGCGGCA